AAUAAGUUUGUUAUUGGUUUCUUUGAAAAAUAAUAAACAAGUUGCACUCGAUUUUUAAUUGUCAUGAACAGAAAGGAGUUGCAAACGUGCGUGGAUAUUCUUAAGAAAUGUUGGGCAUGAUUUCGGGCAUGGGACUGUUCGUUUAUUUCCUGAUUUGGAUGACUCAGAAGUUGGCGCAGCUACCGAGCCCACCGCCGCCUGAUGCCGAACCAACUCCACCCCACGACCGACAUAUGCCUCCAAAAUUGCCGUAGCCUGGAUUUGGUACUAGAAAAGGCCAUGAAACGCUAGAAAUAAAUUCAUAAAAUUUAUUUAUUUUUA